rnacentral:lncRNA from 1 species
UUGGUUUUAGUAGGAUUUGAUAGUUAAUAGGUUAGUGGGGAGUUGAGAUAUUAUCUUUAUUUUAUUUUAUUUUAUUUUAUUUUAUUUUAUUUUCUCAAAAUUCCUAUUCUUUCUGACGUUAUCUUUUUUUUUCUUUUCUCUGCAAAUUUCUUUUACUUCUUCCUUCAAUUUUGUUCACAAAUCAUUCGUUCAAAUCACUGUGAUUCAGAUUUCUCGGUUUUCUUCGUUCGACUUGGUAAGUGGGGCUAUGUUUUUCUUUAACUUUUGGUUUCUGUCAGUCCAUUUGGUUUAGGAUCUUUGUUUUGAAGUGGCAAAUUGGUGUUGUAGUUUGGGAAUUUAAUUUCUGUGGAUGUGUUGUUUAGGAGAAGAUUGUGAAGCAAUGGGUUUCACUCCAAUGACCUAAUUGGUGUAUGUAAUUGUUGUUCGUUGCUGUAAGUAUGCGUGUAUGUUGUUCGGUUU